GCUUACAGGGCCAGACUUCCUUUGCUCUCUGUGUUGCUACCAGCUCAGUCACAGAGCCUCAGUCACAGUCCCAGGAUCUGAGCCUCAGGAUGUUGUGUCACAGUAAGUUGGCCCUUGUCACUAGCUGGCUUGGACAAAAUGUGGGACAGAAACCAACAGUCUUUUUGCAGCCUUUUCUUCAGAACUGAUGCUAAUAACAAAACAGAAAUCGUUAUUCAGGGCUCACUAGGUCCACGUACCUCUCUUUAUUCCAUCCUCACGCGGCUGUCAUUUUAGAUGACUUGAUGGUGUUGGUCAGAUUUGCACGUGUGUGCUGCCCUUUGCAUUUUACAAUGCGACAGCACCCUCUUCUGGCUGUUGCCUGUUGGUCGAAACAGCCGAUCAGGCAGCAAAAUCAAUGUCAGGCAGCAGCACCAGCUCUUUGUCACAGGAUCCUCAGCGCUUUGCAAAGGAAGGAAUAAAAGCGAGGGCAGGAGAAGUUAGCAGGCCUGGCAAAAGGGAGAAAAAAAGGGUAUCUGAUGUGCAAUACUGCCGUCUUGAUGUACCUGCAAUAAGUAUUAAUACUGUAACAACGACUGGGAAAGCUGCCUCACUUCAGGUUCCUUAUGUUCUUUGGACCUGAUUUCUGUCUACUCCAUUUGUGUGGGUGGCACACUUCCACUUUGAUUCAAGAACGCUUUCUACUAAGUGGAACAACUUGUGGCCUAAGCUGGGUAUCAGAGCUAAGUCUUUCUGACGUACCUGAGAAGACAUCAAAGGAACCAUUAGUACCACUACAGAAUUCUCCAAGCAUUUUGUCUGCUGCACGUGGCUUCUGACUGUGUUCCCUCCUCUAUCGGCAAGUCUCCCUACCUUCUCCUUUCAAAUACUGAGAUAAGCUGCCUCAUGGAAAGCUGCUUCUCUACCCAGUCCUCGCUGCAGUAAUGGACAUCUGUUGUCUUAUGCACUUCAGCUUUCAUCUUUUGUGGAAGAUCACUCAACAGUGUGCAAGACACAAUGAGAAAAAUGUCCAGAACAAAUAUCUGAAAAUGUUUUCUCAUAAUGAAAAAUGUAUGUUGCAUCCAUUAUGAAACACAUGUAUUUGCACUGUAGGUGAAGUGCAAAGUGAACGCAUUCACAAACUCUUUGGCAGUCUUCUGCAGGCAGGACAGCAUAUUAAUCCCCUGCUUACGGACAGCCACGUCUGAUUUCUACAUAUUCUCUAGCUCCACAAAAAGCAUUAACAAAAGUCUGAUUUUAAAUCUGCACUUCCAUGUUUUAUGUGCCAGUAUUAAUGAGUUCAAAUAAUCCAAUAUAUUUGAAGUUCAUUGUCAUUAUAUCACUUAACAUUGUAGGUAAACACAUAUUUCCUCAGGAUAUUUGAUGUGCACCUCUUUGUAUUUAUUACAGUAUUAUCGAUUAAUACUUUUGUCUGAUAAAUCGUCAGGAACAAUCAUAUCAGUUAAUUUUUUUAUGAUUAUUUUCUGAUUUGGAAGGAAGGUAGUAUGCAUGAGCAUAUAGCAAAAAGAGACAAAAGAUGGCAUUUGUAGUCAAAUGUGAUCUAUAGUAUGAAAAGCGGGUACAGAGGAGGCCACAAGGAUGAUCAGAGGGCUGGAGCACCUCUCCUGUGAAAAAAGACUGAGACAGCUGGGGCUGUUCAGCCUGAAGAGAAGGCUCCAGGUAGACUUCAUUGUGUCCUUUCAGUACUUAUAGGCGGCUUAUAAAAAAUAUCAACGGUGACUUUUUACACAGGCAGAUUUUGAUAGGUCAAGGGGGAACAGUUUUAAACCAAGAGAGGGGAGAUUGAGAUUUGAGAUUUGAUGUUAGGAGGAAAUGCUUCACUCAGAGGGUGGUGAGGCCCUGGAACAGGUUGCCAAGAGAAGCUGUAGAUGCCCUGUCCCUGGAGAUGUUCAAAGUCAGGUUGGAUGAGGCCCUGGGCAACCCACUCUAGUGGGUGUCAUCCCUGCCCUUGGCAGUGGGGUUGGAAUGAGGUUAUCUUGGCCUCAAGGGCACAUUGCUGACUCAUGGUUAGCCUGUUGUCCACCAGGAAUCUCAGAUCCCCCUCUGCAGAGCUGCUCUCCAGCAGAUCAGCUCCCAGCCUGUACUGGUACUUGGGGUUAUUCCUUCCUAGGUGCAGGACCCUGCACAUGCCUUUGUUGAAUUUCGUGAGGUUCUUCUUGUCCCAUAUCUCCAGUCUGUCCAGGUCCCUCUGAAUGGCAGCACAGCCCUCUGAGGUAUCAGCCACUCCUCCCAGCUCUCAUCAAUGCAUAUAAAUAUCUGAAGGGAGGGUGUCAAGAGGAUGGAACCAGACUCUUUUCAGUUGUGCCCAGCUACAGGAUAAGAGGCAACAGGCACAAACUGAGGCACAAGAAGUUCCAUGUGCAUAUGAGAGGGCAUUUCUUUACUGUGAGGGUGACAGAGCACUGGAACAGGUUGCCCAGACAGGUUGUGGAGUCUCCUACUCAGGAGAUAUCCAAAACCCGCCUGGAUGCUAUCCUGCGCAAGGUGCUCUAGGUGAUCAUGCUUGGCAGGGGGGUCGGAUUAGACAAUCUUCAGCAGUCCCUUCCAACCAUUCUGUGAUUCUGUGGUUUUGUGAUCUUUAAGGUCCCUUCCAACCCAAGCCAUUCUAUGAUUCCAUGAAAAUCAUAAAUGUUGUUGAAGAACCAGACUCCACAGAUUGUAGUCAUAAUUGUGGCAUUAAUAAUAGAUUUUUCUUUGGCAUUUGUCUGUUUUUCCUACAACUUUCAUCAGAUUAUGAAUACCUUAAUAUUUUAGGUUGUCUAAUACAAGGAAAAUAAGCUGGAGGGAAAUUUUAUAAGGUAUGCCUAGUAGGUUUCUGACUUGGAAAUCUUUUUAAGGAAGCCUAUUGUGUUUGUAUUUAGCAUAUUUUAACUUUU